rnacentral:rRNA from 1 species
UACGUAGGGUGCAAGCGUUAAUCGGAAUUACUGGGCGUAAAGCGUGCGCAGGCGGUUCGCUAAGACAGAUGUGAAAGCCCCGGGCUCAACCUGGGAAUGGCGAUGGAAACUGGCGGGCUGGAGUAUGGCAGAGGGGGGUGGAAUUCCGCGUGUAGCAGUGAAAUGCGUAGAGAUGCGGAGGAACACCGAUGGCGAAGGCAGCCCCCUGGGCCAAUACUGACGCUCAGGCACGAAAGCGUGGGGAGCAAACAGG